rnacentral:rRNA from 1 species
AACGAACGCUGGCGGCAUGCCUAACACAUGCAAGUCGAACGAGACCUUCGGGUCUAGUGGCGCACGGGUGCGUAACGCGUGGGAACCUGCCCUUAGGUUCGGAAUAACUCCCCGAAAGGGGUGCUAAUACCGGAUAAUGUCUUCGGACCAAAGAUUUAUCGCCUUUGGAUGGGCCCGCGUUGGAUUAGCUAGUUGGUAGGGUAAAAGCCUACCAAGGCGACGAUCCAUAGCUGGUCUGAGAGGAUGAUCAGCCACACUGGGACUGAGACACGGCCCAGACUCCUACGGGAGGCGGCAGAGGGGAAUAUUGGACAAUGGGCGAAAGCCUGAUCCAGCAAGGCCGCGUGAGUGAUGAAGGCCUUAGGGUUGUAAAGCUCUUUUACCCGGGAUGAUAAUGACAGUACCGGGAGAAUAAGCUCCGGCUAACUCCGUG